GAUGAACGCUGGCGGCGUGCCUAAUACAUGCAAGUCGAGCGAACGGACGAGAAGCUUGCUUCUCUGAUGUUAGCGGCGGACGGGUGAGUAACACGUGGAUAACCUACCUAUAAGACUGGGAUAACUUCGGGAAACCGUAGCUAAUACCGGAUAAUAUUUUGAACCGCAUGGUUCAAAAGUGAAAAACGGUCUUGCUGUCACUUAUAGAUGGAUCCGCGCUGCAUUAGCUAGUUGGUAAGGUAACGGCUUACCAAGGCAACGAUGCAUAGCCGACCUGAGAGGGUGAUCGGCCACACUGGAACUGAGACACGGUCCAGACUCCUACGGGAGGCAGCAGUAGGGAAUCUUCCGCAAUGGGCGAAAGCCUGACGGAGCAACGCCGCGUGAGUGAUGAAGGUCUUCGGAUCGUAAAACUCUGUUAUUAGGGAAGGACAUAUGUGUAAGUAACUGUGCACAUCUUGGCGGUACCUAAUCAGAAAGCCACGGCUAACUACGUG
rnacentral:rRNA from 1 species